AUCUCCAUCAGGCGACGUCAAGUGAACAAUUACAAUAAGGCAAAUGAGCCCAAAGAGUUGGUGUUGGUUGAUCCACUUGAACUCAACAAGACCGAAUAUGAGGGAAAAAUGAAGGGUAAUAAUCCUGACCAGGAGCAAACCAUUUGGAGCUUUCCUGAACUGAAGAUGGAGAUCAUAACUUCUCACCAACCCAAUCCAAGCUUCAGUACGUUCUCUGUCUCCAAACGGAUGAUGAACAGGAAUAGCAGCUUCGAUCAUAAGGGGGUUUUCCUGCAAUCGACUACUCAGCUUACUCCUCAUCACAUUAGCAAUCUGCAGACAGCUAUGAGUUCCCCGCAGUCUAAGCGAGACAAGGACAUUCGGGCUGCAGUGCUGUAGAAAGUUGCUGCAUCCAUCAUGUCCACACCUCAAAAUUAUGCAGAAGGAUCAUGAGGAAGGACUGAACCUAUUUUUCUCCUACGUACCUUCUUUUGAGUUCCAUAACAAAGUACUUUUUAUCUACCCUUUUUCAACUGUUGUAAUAAUUCGGGACGCAACCUGACUUAGGUUAAUAAGAUCUGGUUGAUGCACAGACACACAGACCUUCCUUGCUCGACCAAUUGAUCCAUAUGUUGUAAUGUACAAUCGUUUCAUUAAUUCCUCUGUGACAUGAAUGAGAAUAGCGUGGAACUCUCAGAAGGAAGACAUAUAUGAUAUGUUUGUUGCAUGAAUAAUAUGUACUU